rnacentral:rRNA from 1 species
AGAACGAACGCUGGCGGCAGGCUUAACACAUGCAAGUCGAGCGCCCCGCAAGGGGAGCGGCAGACGGGUGAGUAACGCGUGGGAACAUACCCUCCGGUUCGGAAUAGCUCAGGGAAACUUGGAUUAAUACCGGAUACGGCCUAGCGGCGAAAGAUUCAUCGCCGGAGGAUUGGCCCGCGUUCGAUUAGCUAGUUGGUGAGGUAACGGCUCACCAAGGCGACGAUCGAUAGCUGGUCUGAGAGGAUGAUCAGCCACAUUGGGACUGAGACACGGCCCAAACUCCUACGGGAGGCAGCAGUGGGAAUAUUGGACAAUGGGCGCAAGCCUGAUCCAGCCAUGCCGCGUGAGUGAUGACGGCCUUAGGGUUGUAAAGCUCUUUCGCUAGGGACGAUAAUGACGGUACCUAGACAAGAACGCCCCGGCUAACUUCGUGCCAGCAGCCGC